GAGUUUGAUCCUGGCUCAGAUUGAACGCUGGCGGCAUGCCUUACACAUGCAAGUCGAACGGCAGCACGGGAGCUUGCUCCUGGUGGGCGAGUGGCGAACGGGUGAGUAAUGCAUCGGAACGUAUCCUGGAGUGGGGGGAUAACGUAGCGAAAGUUACGCUAAUACCGCAUAUUCUGUGAGCAGGAAAGCGGGGGGGCCUUCGGGCCUCGCGCUCUUGGAGCGGCCGAUGUCGGAUUAGCUAGUUGGUGAGGUAAAGGCUCACCAAGGCGACGAUCCGUAGCAGGUCUGAGAGGAUGAUCUGCCACACUGGAACUGAGACACGGUCCAGACUCCUACGGGAGGCAGCAGUGGGAAUUUUGGACAAGUGGGGGCAACCCUGAUCCAGCCAUGCCGCGUGAGUGAAG
rnacentral:rRNA from 1 species